AUACGUAGGGGGCGAGCGUUGUCCGGAAUGAUUGGGCGUAAAGGGCGCGUAGGCGGCCUGGUAAGUCUGGAGUGAAAGACCUGUUUUCAAGAUGGGAAUUGCUUUGGAUACUGAUGGGCUUGAGUGCAGGAGAGGUUAUCGGAAUUCCCGGUGUAGCGGUGAAAUGCGUAGAGAUCGGGAGGAACACCAGUGGCGAAGGCGGGUAACUGGACUGCAACUGACUCUGAGGCGCGAAAGUGUGGGGAGCAAACAGGAUUAGAUACCCUGGUAGUCCACACUGUAAACGAUGAAUGCUAGGUGUAAGAGGUAUCGACCCCUUUUGUGCCGGAGUUAACACAAUAAGCAUUCCGCCUGGGGAGUACGGCCGCAAGGUUGAAACUCAAAUGAAUUGACGGGG
rnacentral:rRNA from 1 species